UAUAUUUUAAUUUAUAUCACUUAAAACUGUUUAUAAUUACCUGAUUUUAAUUUUUCGCUUAUUAAAAUUUUUUUUUUUUAAAUUUAAAAAUUAUUUUUAAGAUCAGCUACAUCAGAAGACUUACCGAAGAUUUACUUUGAAGUCGUCCAGACGACUUCCAACAUCUCAAACGACUUACUGGAGCUAUAUUCGUAAAAAUAGCCUCUGUAUUUUUGUUUGGUCACAAAGCUUUUAGAUUAGUUUAGCAUUUGAUUCAAGUUUGAAUGAUAAUUUGGGAGAGACAAAGUGUUGGGUAGAAAUAAAUACCCAGAUCUAUCGCUAUGUCAUUCAUUUGAAGAUUGAUAGAGAGUUUAAUUCAAUUCAAGCCAAAUGAUUUCACAUUUGUGUCUGGCCGCCUGGUAUCUCCUCUCGUCUCGAGACUCGCUUUUACUUACUCAGAGAACCAGAUUCGUGUCGAGUUUGAAGCCUCAAUUUUGUGUCCUAGAUAUGUUGGAAACAUUUGAACUUCAUGGAGAGCUUGAUAUUGGUAGAAGACCGAGGAAGAGCAUGACGGCUCAUAUCUGUUUUUUUAUUUGAAUCCGUGCUUACUGCAUUUUUGACCAAUAUUGAUAUUGGGCUGAGCAGAUUUGUGAUUUUUUUCUGACCUACAGUUUGCGAAGGGGACAUUAGAUGGAGUUGGAGUCGAGCAAGAUAGAAGAGAGGAGAUGGAGUUGGUUUAGAGGCGGAAAAGAGAACAGAUAAGAAGUCUGAUGGUGGUGGAAGAGCAGAGAUUGAUGGAGUUGGUUGACGGCGGCGAAGAGUUGGUGCAGAGAUAGGCGUAAUUUUUUUAAGGUUAAAGUGGUUAAGUUUUUUAGAUUUCUAAAUCGGGUUUAUGUAUAAAUUAGUUUUUGGUUAAAUGUGUUCUUUAAUUAUUUGUAUUCUGAUUUUAGUCAAUAAAUUUAUGAAUUAACUUGCGA